UACGGAGGGUGCGAGCGUUAAUCGGAAUUACUGGGCGUAAAGAGUGCGUAGGUGGUUGGAUAAGUUAUCUGUGAAAUCCCUGGGCUUAACCUGGGCAGGUCAGAUAAUACUGUUUAACUCGAGUAUGGGAGAGGGUAGUGGAAUUUCCGGUGUAGCGGUGAAAUGCGUAGAGAUCGGAAGGAACACCAGUGGCGAAGGCGGCUACCUGGCCUAAUACUGACACUGAGGCACGAAAGCGUGGGGAGCAAACAGG
rnacentral:rRNA from 1 species